GACGAACGCUGGCGGCGUGCUUAACACAUGCAAGUCGAACGGAAAGGCCUUGUUCUUGUGGCGUGCGCGAGUGGCGAACGGGUGAGUAACACGUGGGUAGCCUGACCUCGACUGUGGGAUAACUUCAGUAAACUGUGGCCAAUACCGGAUAAGAGCUCCUGCUGCAAGGUGGGGGCUGGCAAGUGUCGGCGGUUGGGGAUGGACACGCGGCUUCUAAGCCUGUUGGUGGUGUAGUGGCUGAGCAAGGCAUCGGCGGGUAGCCGGCCUGAGCGGGUGACCGGCAACAUUGGGGCUGCGGUGCGGCCCAGACUCCUACGGGGGGCAGCAGUGGGGGAUAAUGCACAAUGGGCGGAAGCCUGAUGCAGCAGCGCCGCGUGCGGGAUGACGGCCUUCGGGUUGUAAUCCGCUUCCGCCUGUGACGAAGCGUGAGUGACGGUAAUGGGUAAAGAAGCACCGGCUAACUACGUG
rnacentral:rRNA from 1 species